GAUGAAGAACGCAGCGAAAUGCGAUAAGUAGUGUGAAUUCCAGAAUUCAGUGAAUCAUCGAAUCUUUGAACGCACAUUGCGCCCCUUGGUAUCCCGAGGGGCAUGCCUGUUCGAGCGUCAUUUCUCCACUCAAGCCUGGCUUGGUGUUGGGCGACGUCCUCUUUGGGGACGCGCCUCGAAACGCUCGGCGGCGUGGCACCGGCUUUAAGCGUAGCAGAAUCUUUCGCUUUGGAAGUCGGGGCCCCGUCUGCCGGAAGACCUGCUCGCAAGGUUGACCUCGGAUCAGGCAGGGAUACCCGCUGAACUUAAGCAUAUCAAUAAGCGGAGGA
rnacentral:misc_RNA from 1 species